rnacentral:rRNA from 1 species
CAGCAGCCGCGGUAAUACAAGGGGGGCAAGCGUUGUUCGGAAUUAUUGGGCGUAAAGGGCGCGUAGGCGGUUUGGCAAGUUUCGUGUGAAAUCUUCGGGCUCAACUCGAAGUCUGCACGGAAAACUGCCGGGCUUGAGUAUGGGAGAGGUGAGUGGAAUUUCCGGUGUAGCGGUGAAAUGCGUAGAUAUCGGAAGAAACACCUGUGGCGAAAGCGGCCCACUGGACCAUUACUGACGCUGAGGCGCGAAAGCUAGGGGAGCAAACAGGAUUAGAUACCCCUGUAGUCCCUGUCUCUUAUAC